UACGUAGGGGGCGAGCGUUGUCCGGAUUUACUGGGCGUAAAGAGCGCGCAGGCGGUCGUUCAAGUCGCGUGUGAAAGCCCCCGGCUCAACUGGGGAGGGUCACGCGAUACUGAUCGACUCGAAGGCAGGAGAGGGAAGUGGAAUUCCCGGUGUAGUGGUGAAAUGCGUAGAUAUCUGGAGGAACACCGGUGGCGAAGGCGCCCACCUGGCCUGCUACUGACGCUGAAGAUCGAAAGCUAGGGGAGCAAACGGG
rnacentral:rRNA from 1 species